UGGGAUGAUGAGGCCGAGGACACCCGAGGGGAACCGAUGAGGACUCUUCGCUUCGCUGACC
rnacentral:snoRNA from 1 species